rnacentral:rRNA from 1 species
AUUGAACGCUGGCGGCAGGCCUAACACAUGCAAGUCGAACGAGUGGCGGACGGGUGAGUAAUGUCUGGGAAACUGCCUGAUGGAGGGGGAUAACUACUGGAAACGGUAGCUACUACCCCAUACCAUCAGAUGUGCCCCGAUGGGUUUAGCUCGUAGGUGGGGUAACGGCUCACCUAGUCGCCGAUCCCUAGCUGGUCUGCGAGGAUGACCAGCCACACUGGAACUGAGAAACGGUCCAGACUCCUACGGUAGGCAGCAGUGGGGAAUAUUGCACAAUGGGCGCAAGCCUGAUGCAGCCCUGCCGCGUGUAUGAAGAAGGCCUUCGGGUUGUAAAGUACUUUCAGCGGGGAGGCGUUACCCGCAGAAGAAGCACCGGCUAACUCCGUGCCAGCAGCCGCGGUAAUAC